UACGUAGGGGGCAAGCGUUGUCCGGAAUCAUUGGGCGGUAAAGCGCGUGUAGGCGGCCCGGUAAGUCGGGUGUGAAAACUUUGGGCUUAACCCAAAGCGUGCAUCCGAUACUGCUGUGACUUGAGUUCGGUAGGGGAGUGGGGAAUUCCUAGUGUAGCGGUGAAAUGACGCAGAUAUUAGGAGGAACACCGGUGGCGAAGGCGGGUCUCUGGGCCGAUACUGACGCGAGGAGCGAAAGCCAGGGGAGCGAAACGGGAUU
rnacentral:rRNA from 1 species